rnacentral:rRNA from 1 species
UACGUAGGCAGCGAGCGUUGUUCGGAGUUACUGGGCGUAAAGCGUGCGUAGGCGGUGCCAUAAGUCUGUUGUGAAAUCUCCCGGCUUAACUGGGAGGGUGCGGUGGAAACUGUGGUGCUGGAGUGUGGGAGAGGUAGGCGGAAUUCCUGGUGUAGCGGUGAAAUGCGUAGAUAUCAGGAGGAACACCGAUGGCGAAGGCAGCUCGCUGGGACGGUACUGACGCUGAGGCGCGAAAGCGUGGGGAGCAAACAGG